rnacentral:rRNA from 1 species
AUCCUCGUAGGGAGCACAUGGGAUGACCGUACCGCAAACCGACACAGGUAGGUAGGUAGAAGAUACCAAGGCGUUCGAGAGAACCCUCGCUAAGGAACUAGGCAAAAUAGCCCCGUAACUUCGGGAGAAGGGGUUCCACCGCAAGGUGAACGCAGUAAAUUGGCUCAGGCGACUGUUUAGCAAAAACACAGGUGUCUGCGAACUCGGAAGAGGAAGUAUAGGCACUGACGCCUGCCCGGUGCCGGAAGGUUAACAGGAGGAGUUAGUCGCAAGGCGAAGCUCUGAAUCGAAGCCCUGGUAAACGGCGGCCGUAACUAUAACGGUCCUAAGGUAGCGAAAUUCCUUGUCGGGUAAGUUCCGACCCGCAUGAAUGGCGUAACGAUCUGAGCGCUGUCUCGGCGAGGGGCUCGGCGAACUUGAGAUACCGGUGAAGACGCCGGUUACCUGCAACUAGACGGAAAGACCCCGUGCACCUUUACUGUAGCUUGGCAGUGAGUUUUGGUCAUGUAUGUGUAGGAUAGGUGGGAGGCUAUGAAGUAGGGACGCUAGUCUUUAUGGAGCCAACGUUGAAAUACCACCCUUACCUUACCGGGACUCUAACCUGUCCCCAUAAUCUGGGGAAGGGACACUGUCUGGUGGGUAGUUUGACUGGGGCGGUCGCCUCCCAAAGAGUAACGGAGGCGUCCAAAGGUCUCCUCAGGCUGGACGGAAACCAGCUGAUGAGUGCAAAGGCAUAAGGAGGCUUAACUGUGAGGCUGACGGGCCGAGCAGAUACGAAAGUAGGGCUUAGUGAUCCGGUGGUUCUGAGUGGAAGGGCCAUCGCUCAACGGAUAAAAGGUACGCCGGGGAUAACAGGCUUAUCGCGUCCAAGAGUUCACAUCGACGACGCGGUUUGGCACCUCGAUGUCGACUCAUCGCAUCCUGGAGCUGAAGCAGGUUCCAAGGGUUGGGCUGUUCGCCCAUUAAAGCGGUACGAGAGUUGGGUUCAGAACGUCGUGAGACAGUUCGGUCCCUAUCUGUUGCAGGCGGAGGAGACUUGAGGGGAUCUGUCCUUAGUACGAGAGGACCGGGAUGGACGGACCUCUGGUGUUCCGGUUGUCACGCCAGUGGCAAUGCCGGGUAGCCAUGUCCGGAAGGGAUAAACGCUGAAGGCAUCUAAGCAUGAAACCCACCCCAAGAUUAGGUCUCCCGUGGAGUAAUCCACCUGAAGGUCUGUGGUAGACUACCACGU